rnacentral:rRNA from 1 species
GAUGAACGCUAGCGGCAGGCCUAACACAUGCAAGUCGAGGGGCAGCACGUCUUCGGAUGGUGGCGACCGGCGCACGGGUGCGUAACGCGUAUGCAACCUACCUCUUACAGUGGGAUAGCCCAGAGAAAUUUGGAUUAAUACCGCAUAGUAUACAGAUUCAGCAUUGGGACUGUAUUAAACAUUUAUGGGUAAGAGAUGGGCAUGCGUUCUAUUAGUUAGUUGGAGUGGUAACGGCACCCCAAGACAGCGAUAGAUAGGGGCCCUGAGAGGGGGAUCCCCCGACACUGGUACUGAGACACGGACCAGACUCCUACGGGAGGCAGCAGUGAGGUAAUAUUGGACAAUGGGCGAGAGCCUGAUCCAGCCAUGCCGCGUGCAGGAAGACGG